UAAUUUAUUUAUGGCAUAUUCUCAUCCAACUAUAACAAAUUAUCACCCAUAUGCUUAAAAACUUUAGUUUUCACAAACUCGGUUGCAUAAAUUAGUUUUCAAUGGUGAA
rfam:Populus trichocarpa scaffold_1_contig_386, whole genome shotgun sequence.